UGGUCUUACAGGCAGUAUAAGAAGCAUGGCACCAGCAACUGCUUGUGGUGAGGCCUCAGGAAGCUUACAAUCAUAGAGGAAGGCAAGAGGAGCUGGCUUGUCACAUGGCCACUCUUCUGUAGGGCUGCUGCAGUUUGCUGGGGGAUCACUCCAGGCCCUAGUUGCCUAGGUUUUCCCCUUACCUGGAUGUAUCACCAGUGAAGUCUGCAAAACAGCAAAGAUGGCAGCCUGCCCCUUCCUCUAGGAGCUCUGUCCCAGGAGUGGAAUGUGGAGGUUUGAGAAGCAUCUACAGUUUGAAGCACAAUAUCAGCAAUAUUAUCAGCAGAAAAACAUCAACAGGAUUGUGAGAUGAAGUAUUUGUCUGCAAUCUGUAAUGCCUCAAGCCUUGCUACUCUUUCAAGCGUAGCCCUUGGACUAGCAGCACUGAUGUUACCAGAAGUUUUGAGAAAUUCAGCAUCCCCAGUUCUACCUCAGACCUACCAUAUUAGAAUUUGCAUCUUUAAUAAGAUUCCCAGGUGAUUCACAUUAAAGCUCGACACGUACUGGCCUGGAGGGUUGUAGAAAAGAGGAGGAGGGGGUGAAUUUUUUGAGGGGAAGGAAUGCAGAAAGGGAGCAAGACCUAUGUAUUUUUCUCUCUGUUAGGAAACAUAAUCACUGGUGCACCAUACGUCCCUCCUUGAGUGACCUUGAUGACACAGUGCAGAAACAUCUGUCAUUUGUAGCCGGAUCUGUUUGCUAUUGUAAUUUUACAAACUGCCAAUAAGCCUCGAGGGCCUGGAACCAGAGCUGUCUUGAGAUGAAUGUGACCUAUGAGAAGCAGGCUUUUCCAGGUAGGAGAAAGACGAUAUUCCCCCUGGCAAAGGGAGCUCAUGCCUGUUUGAUUAUGAAGCAUAUACAUUAUGUCACUGGAAAUAAGGAGGGGUUAGUAGAAGCUCCAGAAAGGAGUCUCCAGCUAGGUAUGUUGAUUGGCUAGCAUUGAGCGGUAGCUUCAACUUACCUGGGACACAAAUGGCUUACGAGAUGGAACGUGAACUCUAUGGCCAAAAACAUUUGAUUUUCAUUAAAGGUGGCCACAGUGUGUUAACUUAAUAGAAAGUCGCCGGUGAUUGUUUUCCAAAGGACACACCUGGGGGUGGGAGUGGAGGACAUAAAUGUAAUAAUGUAUAGAUGGCCAAUUAUAAGAUGUUUUGAGUUGCUGACUGCCUAAAAACAUUCAUUCAAUCACAUUGGUUCAUAGAAUUACACAAAGAAUUAAAAGCCUGCUGCUCUGGGGGUGUCUCAGCUGGACAACCCACAAAAGCUAUGCCUGGCCAAUCAGAAUGUGAAAGGAGGAGGUGGCAGUGGCAGUGAUAGCAUUUCACUUCCUACUGUGGCAGGGUCCAUUCCUUUAGAUUUAGCUUUCAAAUAACAACCUCUCUGG
rnacentral:lncRNA from 1 species